CACGUCCGCUCACCGCAACGGCCACACAGCGUUCGUCUUCGUCGUCGUUCUCGAGAGAACGACGACGAAGACGAACGCUGUGUGGCCGUUGCGGUGAGCGGACGU
rnacentral:pre_miRNA from 1 species